rnacentral:rRNA from 1 species
CCCUUAGAUGUUCUGGGCCGCACGCGCGCUACACUGAUGCAUUCAACGAGCCUAUCCUUGACCGACAGGUCCGGGUAAUCUUUGAAUCUGCAUCGUGACGGGGAUAGAUUAUUGCAAUUAUUAAUCUUCAACGAGGAAUGCCUAGUAGGCGCAAGUCAUCAGCUUGCGUCGAUUACGUCCCUGCCCUUUGUACACACCGCCCGUCGCUCAUACCGAUUGGGUGUGCUGGUGAAAUGUUCGGAUCGGCCGUUUGUCGCGGUUUCCGCGGCUCGUGGCUGAGAAGUUCAUUAAACCCUCCCACCUAGAGGAAGGAGAAGUCGUAACA